AAGUCCGGUAGUGCGAGGCACAUCGAACUGCAAAUUCGAAGACGCCGCUUUUUCUUUCGGCCCGGACU
rnacentral:tRNA from 1 species